CUACGGGUCGCAGCAGUGGGGAAUAUUGGACAAUGGGGGAAACCCUGAUCCAGCAAUGCCGCGUGUGUGAAGAAGGCCUGCGGGUUGUAAAGCACUUUCGGUUGGGCGGACUGCUUCUAGCACUAAUAUUGUUGGAAGUUGACGUUACCUUCAGAAGAAGCACCGGCUAACUCCGUGCCAGCAGCCGCGGUAAUACGGAGGGUGCAAGCGUUAAUCGGAAUUACUGGGCGUAAAGCGCGCGUAGGCGGCUAGAUCAGUCGGGUGUGAAAGCCCCGGGCUUAACCUGGGAACUGCAUCCGAUACUGUCUAGCUCGAGUACAGGAGAGGAGAGUGGAAUUCCACAUGUAGCGGUGAAAUGCGUAGAUAUGUGGAGGAACACCAAUGGCGAAGGCAGCUCUCUGGCCUGAUACUGACGCUGAGGUGCGAAAGCGUGGGGAGCAAGCAGGAUUAGAUACCCUAGUAGUC
rnacentral:rRNA from 1 species